GAUGUGCCCAGUGAUAAAUUAUUUGAGCCUCCAGUUACUAUGCGUGACAUGCUGAAGUCCUUGUCUCGCACCAAACCCACUGUGAACGAUGAUGAUCUAGUAAAGCUGCGCAAGUUCACUGAAGACUUUGGACAAGAGGGAUAAAUUGUAGAAAAGCUAAGAAUAUUUGAUUUUAUUAUUAAAA